rnacentral:rRNA from 1 species
AGUGAACGCUGGCGGUAGGCCUAACACAUGCAAGUCGAACGGCAGCACAGUAAGAGCUUGCUCUUACGGGUGGCGAGUGGCGGACGGGUGAGGAAUACAUCGGAAUCUACUUUUUCGUGGGGGAUAACGUAGGGAAACUUACGCUAAUACCGCAUACGACCUACGGGUGAAAGCAGGGGAUCUUCGGACCUUGCGCGAUUGAAUGAGCCGAUGUCGGAUUAGCUAGUUAGCGGGGUAAAGGCCCACCAAGGCGACGAUCCGUAGCUGGUCUGAGAGGAUGAUCAGCCACACUGGAACUGAGACACGGUCCAGACUCCUACGGGAGGCAGCAGUGGGGAAUACUGGACAAUGGGCGCAAGCCUGAUCCAGCCAUACCGCGUGGGUGAAGAAGGCCUUCGGGUUGUAAAGCCCUUUUGUUGGGAAAGAAAAGCAGCAGGUUAAUACCCCGCUGUUCUGACGGUACCCAAAGAAUAAGCACCGGCUAACUUCGUG